UAAUGGGAAUAAGUUGAGAGAAACAUGUAAGGGCUUUUGAAUGCACAUGGAACUAUCAAAACUAGUCCAAGUACCAGAAUAUCGCCAUAUCUAUCUCGGCAACGUACAGCGCUUUAUCCACUAUUGACAUAAGUGAAUCAGAGACUCUAAUUUGUUGCCUUUCCUAUCACCAAAACGAUUUCAUAUAACAUGUAACACAUAAGAUUUCAAACAAACAAACUAGGCUCAGAUUAUAAAAAGAAGUUUACAUCAACGAGCGAAAAACCUCUCAAAGUUUGAUGGUAAUCUUGUUUCAUCAUCAUCGCCGAAG
rnacentral:sRNA from 1 species